CUAAGAAGUGUUGGGAGACUAUCCACAUUUUGGAUAAGAUAAUUGAAUCCUUUUUCUUUUAUAGAAUUAUCGCAGAGAAAUUUGCAUGUAUUGUAAGGAUGAUCAGCUAUUGGAUGCUUUUCACGUGAUUGCUAAAUGCUCUAAGUUAGAAAAAAUUCGGGAAAGUGUGUUUGGAACUUCUAUUAUUCCGUUGGAGAAUUUUUUGGAACUUAUUACUAAUAUAAUGAUCCCUUGUACGGAGUGACGUACAUCGUUGUUUAUUUUGCAUAUUGGAGUAUUCGUUUUUGCCGAAAGGUGGCAUUUGUUUUUUCCUUAAAAGUGUGCUUGUGGCUAAGAAGUGUUGGGAGACUAUCCACAUUUUGGAUAAGAUAAUUGAAUCCUUUUUCUUUUAUAGGUGGGUGUAAUUAAUGUUUUUUUUCUUUAUAUAAUGAUGUUUUUGGUUGGAUAGUUCUCCCCAUGAUGAUUUUUCGUUAUUAUGUUAUAUGUUUAUAUUUGGAUAUUUGGCUUUCAGAUAUUUAUUUUUCAGUUAUUUAAUUUUGAUGUUUUUUGAUGUUUAUAAUAAUACUUGUACAAUUUUUGUUUUGAUUUAUGUAUAUGUUAAUUUUCUCUGUAAUAAUGGAUGGAUUAUGAUAUUUUUUUGUAAUGUACAUGUAACGAAUUAUUGUAUACCCCGCAUCAUGGGCUCUGCCUACUAUGUCUAAAUAAAUAAAUAAAACAAACAAUAUUUAGAAAAUGCAAUAUCUGUAGAAUGUGAAAAAUGUUUUAGAAACUUUAAUUUAAUAGACUUCAUUUUUACUGCACCAUUACUGCAACACAUAACCAAGUAUUAUCUCAAAGACACAUUUUCUAUUUGCUAAAGAUGGUCGUAUCAAUCCAAGAAAUUGAUUUAAAUUAUGCUGAGGCCACCAUUAUAUACGUGACAGCAAAAUCUUUUGUAGCAAUCUUAAGUGAAAAAAUUAACCAAAUGCAUAAGACAAAUUGGAAUAUCAAGGGAAAAUAUAUUAGUGC